AGAGCGAACGCUGGCGGCAGGCCUAACACAUGCAAGUCGAACGGACUCUUCGGAGUUAGUGGCGGACGGGUGAGUAACACGUGGGAACGUGCCUUUAGGUUCGGAAUAGCUCCUGGAAACGGGUGGUAAUACCGAAUGUGCCCUUCGGGGGAAAGAUUUAUCGCCUUUAGAGCGGCCCGCGUCUGAUUAGCUUGUUGGUGAGGUAAUGGCUCACCAAGGCUACGAUCAGUAGCUGGUCUGAGAGGAUGACCAGCCACAUUGGGACUGAGACACGGCCCAGACUCCUACGGGAGGCAGCAGUGGGGAAUAUUGGACAAUGGGCGAAAGCCUGAUCCAGCCAUGCCGCGUGUGUGAAGAAGGUCUUCGGAUUGUAAAGCACUUUAAGUUGGGAGGAAGGGUUGUAACCUAAUACGUUGCAAC
rnacentral:rRNA from 1 species